UACAGGGGGUGCAAACGUUGCUCGGAAUUAUUGGGCGUAAAGCGCGCGUAGGCGGUGACUCAAGUCGGAUGUGAAAGCCCUUGGCUUAACCGAGGAAGUGCAUCCGAAACUGAGUCGCUAGAGUACGAUAGAGGGUCGCGGAAUUCCCGGUGUAGAGGUGAAAUUCGUAGAUAUCGGGAGGAACACCGGUGGCGAAGGCGGCGACCUGGGUCGAUACUGACGCUGAGACGCGAAAGCGUGGGGAGCGAACAGG
rnacentral:rRNA from 1 species